rnacentral:lncRNA from 1 species
CAGGUUGUGCGUCUUUCCCCACGUGAGUCCACAUUCUUUUCUACCCUAGGAUUACUACUGGCACAGAGGAAGUUGAACCACUGUCCCCCUUUGGUUGGAUGUUUGCAAUACUUCUGCUUUUAUACUGCAACAAACAAUACUUGUGCUUUCCCUCCAUCUAGCACUGUGCCUCCAGGAGAGAGGGUUUUUUUCUGGUCGCCCCUGCAGACAUGACCCUGCUUGUCCCUGGCCAAUCCCAGGGCCAGACUGGAUUGUUGGCCCUCUGACUCACCCUAGAAGGCCUGGGGCUGGAGAGGCCUGGAACUCCUCGGAGAAGCCAAAGAUUUUGCAGAAUCAAGGAUGGAUGGAGUAUCAAAAUAAGGAACGGAAAAAACUGAAGAUAUACUAAGGAUUAAGGCCCAGGUUCAUCUAGUGUCCCCAGGUGCCAGGCAUUGUGCUGUGACUGUGAUGUGAAAAAAGAGGCCAGGACAACUGGGUCUCAUUCAGUCAGACUGGAGUGCAGU